CCCAUUGUAGCCGAUCUGGCCCCUAGAAAGCUCCAGCACGAGUCAGUUCGACUCCGAUUUUCACAGCGAGCAGAGCACACAUAUGAAGAUGCCAACUUCUUAUCAAAUCGCAUUGACCUUUGCUUUGGUACUUUGCCACGUCCAACUUCAAGGCGUGGCUCCUGGCCGGGUCAUCCAUCACAGUCAAGUGCAUCGACGAGCGAACACCACUCGCCUAACGCCAGCACACACGCACCAUGUGGCGUCGAAUCAGACACGGUUUGGCCAAGCCAGAAGAUUGAAUAAUACAUCGAGUGUAUCGUCUCCAAGAAACGUUACCGUGCCUGUUGCUCACAACCAAACGUGGCCAAUACAAAAUGACCAGCCUGGUUUUAGACAGCCCUCCCAGUCUCCUGUUCACAACCAAACAUGGCUGUACACCAAUCAGACCUACUUCAGCUCGGCACCUGGAACUAUACCUUUAUAUCCUCCAGAGGGGCUUCCAAGCCAAGUGCCGACGUCAUCUCUAUGGGAUGGAUCAGCAUCCGGUAUCUUUCUAGCGGACAAUAAUACACUUGUUGGCAACUCAUCGUCAACACAGGGUCCGAGUCCAGCGCUUGUGGCGAGCAACCACAAUGGCUCUUUGGCCUCGGCAUUAUCCAGCAAUUCGACGAGACUGCCACUUGCGCCAGGCAGCAAGCCGUAUUCCUCUAGUCCAUAUGCAAAUCUGGUUUACUAAACGAAGAGGAUGAUAGACGAUGAUAGGCUCCCCCAAAUGAAUAAAGCUUGGACUUAAAUUUUUUCAAAAAACAUUUUAUUUCGCUGCCAUUGCGUUGCGGCGAUCAGUUAAUUGGACCAUCGGUAAAAAUAUGUUGGUUGCUUUCCGGUAUUCCAGAAGUGUUAAAUAAAAAUGUAUGUGUGUAGAAAUGAUGAAUUUUCCAUAAAUGGGCUUGGCUUAGACAGGGGUGCGGAUAUUUUUGGGACGGUGAUCACGGCAUCAUCAAGUAUAUCAGCUUUGAACCAUCGAAUAAAUUAUAUUGUGAUUGCCUAAGUUAACGCUGCGCCAAGAUUUUUGGAAUACCACCGAUGAUUUUCUAAGCCGAAGUGGAGCGGAUCCCUCGCCGCCGUCCAGCGCUCCCACGCCGCAGUCAAGAUCUCCCCCGCCGCAGUCAAGUGCUCCCUCGCCGCCGUCAGAAGCCACAUCCCUCGCCGCCGUCAGCAACCACAUCCCACGCCGCCGUCAAUUCAAUCCUCCCUCCAGUUCCCACGCCGCAGUCAUGAUCAUAGCGCUUGGCGCAUAGAGCCCUUGCCAAAAUCCCACGCAGCAAAAUGGUUAUCCCACGCCGCAGUCUUGACGUUCGGAUCCAUCCAUCGCCGCCGUCAUGUGUAAGUCGGGAUCCCUCGCCGCCGUCGAUUUGGAAUCUCACCACGCCGUCGUUGUGCAUAUUGAAUCCCACGCUGCAGUCAAAUCCGAAUUAAAUGAAACUUGCAAUCCACGAACAAAAUCUAAUUCUCCUCACGAAGGGUCCUCACAGAGCAAAGUUAAGCGUCAACAUCACAUUAGUUAAGCGACCAGUAGCGAAGCGAUAAGUGAAUGCCACAUGCCACCGCCAACGGUGGUAAUGGUAAUGGCAAUGGCGAUGGCGAUGGCGUUGGCGAUCACCGCGUCCAACUGCAGCAGUGUUGCGAAGAAGGGGCAAAUGUUGGAGAACGGUCUGAAGUUGUCAUCAGUAUCAUGUCAUUAAAGCAGAGUCAACAAGCUAUCCCAAGCCAGUGGUACGAGGAACGAAUUGGUACGGAAUUGUUAUUGGUGCAGGUCGAUGGAAGUGUUCAGGAUAAUGAUAUGUGGCCUGCAUCUCAGAUCUUGGACCAGUCAAUAUGCUGCUCCAGAAAGCGAUCGCAGAAGCCACUGGCGAUGUCGAAUUGAACAGAAGGCUCGGCUCCCAGAGAUAUCUCUUAGCCGGUUCUCGUAGCGAAAAUGAUCAAUAGCGUGCACUCCCAGUCGUUUAGUGCGCCUCUUGAGUCCACACAGGAUGCGAUUAGAUGAUUCAAAGAGGCCAAUGAAGGAAUGCCUCGAAGGUAGUACAAGGUCGAAGGUAUCAAAAGAUUGAAAAUGUAUGUCCUCUGUAUGCUGCUGCUCCCACUCCUCACUCCUCACUGCCAUGGAUCUUGCCAUUGAUCUAUAAAAGUCGUGGUCCUCCCAUUCAAAUGUUCCCUGCGGCAACAACUGGUACGUCUAGGUGCGACAUGGACCGCUCCAAAAGCCUUUGGAAGGAUAUCCGGUUGCACUCUUCAGGGGAAGUCUGCUACAGCCAUGGCUUUUAAAUUUACAUGUCACAGUAUAACAUAACAUCUUACAUAAGAAAUUUAAAACAAAUUUAAAGGCAACAAAACAUUAACAUUAUCUACGCAAGGUAUUUAAAGAGAACAUAAUUUGAUAGCUCUAACAACUGCAUUACAAAUGCAGUCUGGAUCCUGGACGUGGGCCUAGAAGAGUCUCGCUCUUUAUGAGUCUUUAGGAG